rnacentral:RNase_P_RNA from 1 species
GCCGCAGGCCGCCUUAUCGCUGCUCUUUACGAGUGGAGGAAAGUCCGGGCACCAUAGAGCAGCAUAGCGGGUAACGCCCGUCACAUCCGAAUAAAAUCGGGUGGAGGACAAGUGCAACAGAAAGCAAGUACAGUUCGGCUGUAGUGAAACCAGGUAAACUCUAUGCGGUGAAAUGUCAAGUAUACCGAUAGUCAAGGGCGGCUCGUCCGUUGUCGGAGGGUAGGCAGAUAGAAUCGUACGGCAACGUCCGGUCCAGAUAAAUGAUAAGGACUCCACACCCGGAGUACAGAACCCGGCUUACAGGCCUGCUUUUUUU